AGAGUUUGAUCCUGGCUCAGAACGAACGUUGGCGGCGUGGAUUAGGCAUGCAAGUCGAGCGGGAUCUACUUAAUUCAAUUCUUCGGAAAAGAAAUUUGUAGUGAGAGCGGCGAACUGGUGAGUAAUACAUGGGCAAUCUGCCCUUAAGUUCGGAAUAGCCAUUGGAAACGAUGGGUAAUGCCGAAUGUGAUCGACCAUCACAUGGUGGUCUGUUUAAAGGAGGGGAUCUUCGGACCUUUCGCUUAAGGAUGAGCCCGUGGCCUAUCAGCUUGUUGGUGAGGUAAUGGCUCACCAAGGCUUACGGGUAGCCGGCCUGAGAGGGUGACCGGCCACACUGGGACUGAGACACUGCCCAGACUCCUACGGGAGGCUGCAGUCGAGAAUCAUUGACAAUGCACGAAAGUGUGAUCAUGCGACGCCGCGUGGAGGAAGACGGCCUUCGGGGUGUAAACUGCUGUCAGGUUCAGCAACACAAUGAGCAGACCCAAAGGAAGGGCCGGCUA
rnacentral:rRNA from 1 species